rnacentral:misc_RNA from 1 species
GUGAAUCAUCGAAUUUUUGAACGCAAAUUGCGCCUUUUUCGGAAGGCAUGUCUGUUUGAGGUCGCCAUUUAACAAAUAAUGUGCAGCUUUUUUUGUUGCACACGUUGAUGGACUUUCCAAGAAUUUUAAAUUUUUGGUGGCGCAGAAUGAACAGCGUAUAAGUUUUUUUCAGUUGGAGUGUAGUAAAAUCUUUGCUUGGUUUUUGAAAAAGCAUAAUCGUGCAAUGGGUGUU